ensembl:lncRNA
GACUCAACCGAUUCGUUCACAUACACUGAUUCACCCGGGAACCAAACACCAGCGCACUGGCUUUGUUUGGAAUUAUUUUUCUUGGCGGAGCAAAUUUCCAAAAACUAACUGAAACAUUGUGUCAAACAUGUUUGUGGGUCACCACAAUUUCGAUGGUUUAUUCAAAUCAUACCAAGAGGUCAAGGUUUAGCUAGUUCGCCCCUGCUGGGAUGUGCCAUAACUACACCAUUGUGGAGCUUUUCUCUUGACUUUGGAGCCUGACUGUUGCAAGAAGAAACCCCACCAGCCCCAAAGACAUAUUCCCUCAAUUUAACAGCAGACCAAGGUGUUUCUCCAGCAUCAUCGGAUCAAUGAAAACCCCAGGGACGAUGCUGAUUGCCAAAGAUUGGACAAGCUAACAAGCACAUGAUGAGGAACCAGUUGGUUCUUCUUGCUUUCUCUCAGUUUUCGGAGGUCUUUGGGACAGGCACACACAAAAGGGAAGCUGAUCCGUGGAUGUAUUCUGUCAUUCUUUUGGAGGCUGCUUUUUCUUCCUUGUUUUGACUUGGUUCAACUUGACAGGGUGCUUUUAAGGAUAUUGUGGGGUCUAAAAAUGAGUGGAAUACCAGGAAAUCAAUGAAAGGAUGUAUUCAUGGAUCGGAGCUGGUGGACUAAAUUUUAACUCCCUUUCAGUUCAAGUCACUGACUCAUUUAUCAGAGUCUUCCAUCAUAGAGGUGGCCUAUUGAGAUCGGCACACUUUGGUUUUUCCGUUACAUGUGGCACAAACUGUUACAAUAAUAUGUGUGGGCUGAGGGACUGAUUCAAGGGCUGAAGUGAGCUCUGGAGAAGACUCUGGGACUGGAGUGGGCUCAGGAACAGAUUCGGGGACUAAAGUGGACGGCACCACCUCGGGAGGUUCUGCAGCGGAAGCCAGCCUCAGGCACCUUGGGACAGACUUUUUUGUCUUCAAAUGUAACAUUCACAAUGCUCUGGAACACUGGAGUGGCAUCUGUGAUGGCUGAAGACUGUGGCCUGACAUCUCUGAAGGUCGGAGUCUCUGGCAUGGCGGUCCUGACGUGAACAGGCUCUGGCUUGGCAGACUUGAUGUGAGCAGGCUCUGGCGUGGCGGCCCUGACAUGAACAGGCUCUGGCUUGGCAGACUUGAGGUGAGCAGGCUCUGUCUUGGCAGGCUUGAUGUAAGCAGGCUUUGGCAGGCUUGAUGUGAAUAGGCUCUGG